rnacentral:rRNA from 1 species
GGUGAAACUGCGAAUGGCUCAUUAAAUCAGUUAUCGUUUAUUUGAUAGUACCUUACUACAUGGAUACCUGUGGUAAUUCUAGAGCUAAUACAUGCUAAAAACCCCGACUUCGGGAGGGGUGUAUUUAUUAGAUAAAAAACCAAUGCCCUUCGGGGCUCCUUGGUGAAUCAUAAUAACUUAACGAAUCGCAUGGCCUUGCGCCGGCGAUGGUUCAUUCAAAUUUCUGCCCUAUCAACUUUCGAUGGUAGGAUAGUGGCCUACCAUGGUAGCAACGGGUAACGGGGAAUUAGGGUUCUAUUCCGGAGAGGGAGCCUGAGAAACGGCUACCACAUCCAAGGAAGGCAGCAGGCGCGCAAAUUACCCAAUCCCGAUACGGGGAGGUAGUGACAAUAAAUACUGAUACAGGGCUCUUUUGGGUCUUGUAAUUGGAAUGAGUACAAUUUAAAUCCCUUAACGAGGAACAAUUGGAGGGCAAGUCUGGUGCCAGCAGCCGCGGUAAUUCCAGCUCCAAUAGCGUAUAUUAAAGUUGUUGCAGUUAAAAAGCUCGUAGUUGAACCUUGGGCCUGGCUGGCCGGUCCGCCUCACCGCGUGUACUGGUCCGGCCGGGCCUUUCCUUCUGGGGAGCCGCAUGCCCUUCACUGGGCGUGUCGGGGAACCAGGACUUUUACUGUGAAAAAAUUAGAGUGUUCAAAGCAGGCCUUUGCUCGAAUACAUUAGCAUGGA